rnacentral:rRNA from 1 species
GAUGAACGCUGGCGGCGUGCCUAAUACAUGCCAGUCGAGCGAACAGACGAGGAGCUUGCUCCUCUGACGUUAGCGGCGGACGGGUGAGUAACACGUGGAUAACCUACCUAUAAGACUGGGAUAACUUCGGGAAACCGGAGCUAAUACCGGAUAAUAUAUUGAACCGCAUGGUUCAAUAGUGAAAGACGGUUUUGCUGUCACUUAUAGAUGGAUCCGCGCCGCAUUUGCUAGUUGGUAAGGUAACGGCUUACCAAGGCGACGAUGCGUAGCCGACCUGAGAGGGUGAUCGGCCACACUGGAACUGAGACACGGUCCAGACUCCUACGGGAGGCAGCAGUAGGGAAUCUUCCGCAAUGGGCGAAAGCCUGACGGAGCAACGCCGCGUGAGUGAUGAAGGUCUUCGGAUCGUAAAACUCUGUUAUUAGGGAAGAACAAAUGUGUAAGUAACUAUGCACGUCUUGACGGUACCUAAUCAGAAAGCCACGGCUAACUACGUG